rnacentral:sRNA from 1 species
UCAGGCACGGAAUGGCUAGUGUGAGAAACACCAACGUCAGGCCCAUCUCAGAUCUUCACUAUGGCAACUCAUGCAAGAAACUGUUGAAUUAGACCCGUUUCCUAUAGAUGAGAAACCAUACAAGCUGUGGUAUUUAUGAGCCUCCAUUUCUUAUACUACUGCAGUGAACCAACAUUGGAUGUGAAAAUUGCCUUUUGUCAGUAGGUUAAGAAGAAUGUUCACUUUGGUUCUGAGUUCUAAAACCAGUUCUAAUCUGGAGUGUAUCAUUCAAUUCCUCUUUUGUUCAUCUUCUCUGUUUAUUAUAUAAACAAUUGAAUAUAUUCUUCCUGAAGUUUAGCUGAAGAAUUUUAUCUUUCCUAUGAAUUGGUAUUAUAUAUUUUAUGAGAUUAAAAAAUCAAAACCUGCCACUC